rnacentral:lncRNA from 1 species
AUUACACUCUGUCCUCAGAAGGAAGAGACUGCCAGGUUCCCCUUACCUGGCACCAGAAGGCCCCAAUAGACUCCACUGUCUACACGGAUGUUUGAGGCCAGCAACCAGUCUGCAGUGAGGUCACAGUGGACUUCUGAGUUGUGGGUUACCAAGGAGGACUACUCAUUGGCCAGGGAGAGAGUUCAGACUUCCAACAGGGCUGCUUGCAGGCUUCUCGCCUCCCAAGAGUCCCUCAGCCCAUGGAGCAGGUUGGUCAGUGGCCAGGCACAUGGGGACAGAGGCACCUGGGAGACACAGCACAUGCUGGGUCAUAAGGAGAAGAACCCUGAUAACUUGGACGGACAGUCUGCAAGCCGUGAAAAGUCCAGCUGCCUCCAGCCCCACGGGCCAGCGCUCGGUUCCCAUGACACUCACUGGCAGCGUUAAUAACUAACCACGGCCCAGACAGGUGUUGGCAGCCGGGCCUCAGGAGUUCUUGUUCAGGGGUGGAAACAACCAACACUCGUGACAUCUGAUCGGGCAGCACUGGUGUCUCCGGCAGGCGUGAGACUGACAGGCAGAGAGAAGAUGACACUGUUUCUUGCCUCAGAAGCUUCCAGGUGUCACAGCCUAGUUUACCUCUGCACUGUCUCACUUCUACAUGGCCCCCCAGACUUCCCAAACUGCACUGUGAAAUCUGUCUGCUGCAGCCAUGGCUUUGGCUGCCCUUCCCAGAGUCCCUGGAACAAUUUCACUAUUAAUUAUGGUGGUGGCAGAGAUGGUCAUUGGAGCCACAGCACCUCUGUCCCCAGCACACACAUGCGUGAUUGGAUGGAGCUGAGGACACAGCAUGUCCUCCCUGGACGUCCAACUUUUCCUCAGUGGACACACUCCUCCCUGCUGCUGACCUCAUGCAGGAAUCCUGGGGGCUGUGAGGCCGUGAAUGUGACAGUUCUUUGAAAGGAAGUUUGCAAAGCCAGAACCAGUGGGGAGAUGGGGAGAGGCCCUCCUAUGAAGCCAUGAUGCCACAGAAGAUUGUGUGGAUUGCCUGAAUGAGGGAGUCAUGGCUGCUGAGAAUCAGUGCCUGUGAUUUUCAGCUCCUCACAGAAUCACUGUCAAUCUGCUCUCAGAGAUGGGAAACCAAAGUCCAUGAAGAGAAGGUCGUCAGCCCAUCGUCACAACGUGAGAAAGUAAUAGGAGGUGGAUGUGAAGCCAGGCCAUCUGGGUCCCUGCUCCUUACCACUGCACUAGACAAGACAGUGACCAACUCACAACACAAUCUGCCUGGUUGCGAAUCUCUGCACAGCACCCUCCUUCUAAACUCCACGGGAGAAACAGAAACAAUCUGUUGUCUCCCAUAAAACACACCUACAUUCUGAGCUUCCAGCCAGCAUGAAACUCACAGCCAGAAUCAGAGCCACUGUGGAUGGAGACGUCUAGAAAACUAUGGGCAAAUCCAGCCUUAUGUGAAAGGAAGGGGUGUCUGCUUCACACGCUGCACUGUCAGGACCAGACUUCAGUCAGCAGCACCCGGAAAUGUGUAGGAGCCCACUUAAUCCUACGGCCAAUCUGUGCCCUGGAAAGCCAGCAGGUCGAUCCACCUGUCCCCUACACCCACAGGCUGUGAGUCACCUGCCUGAAGGUUCUUCCUGCACACUGUCUGAAAGACCUGUGUGUCCUGCAAUGGACUCCAUGUCUGCAGUGCAGGUAGCAGGAGCGGACACGGAACCUGCUGAGAAGCUGGGACAACUCACUAUCACUCAAAACAGCAACAGGCCACGGUCAUGGUUCAGAGCUGGCUUUCAAUCCCAGCUCCUCUGCAAAUUACCUGUGCAACACUGGACGAAUGACUGUACCUUGAUUUUCUCAUCUGGAGGCUGGGCAUCAGGUAACUCACGGCUAGAGCUGUGAGGGGCCAAAUGAGUUAACCAAAUCACAGCCAUGGAACGCAGCCUGGCCAGAGUUAAUAAAUACUGGAUGUACUUAUAAGCCUGGGCCCCUGAACCUCUUCUGCUCGCUACCUGCAAGGUGCCUGCUGAC